ACAAGGUGGACAUUGGUUAAUUCAGCAACGGAGACUUACCAGCCCUUGACAUGCCGGUCGCGCUUUCCAGAGAUGGAUUCUCAGUUCGGCUGGACCGGUGACAGGUGCUGCAUGGCUGUCGUCAGCUCGUGUCGUGAGAUGUUGGGUUAAGUCCCCAACGAGGCAACCUGGCUUUAGUUGCCAGCAUUUAGUUGGGCACUCUAGAGGGACUGCCGGUGAUAGGCCGGAGGAAGGUGGGGAUGAGGUCAAGUCAUCAUGGCGUUACGGGCUGGGCUAGAGACGUGCUACAAUGCGGUGACAAAGGGCAGCUACUUGGCGACAAGAUGCUAAUCCCGAAAAACCGUCUCAGUUCGGAUUGCACUCUGCAAGUCGGGUGCAUGAAGUUGGAAUGGCUAGUAAUGGCAGAUCAGCAUGCUGCGGUGAAUACGUUCCCGGGCCUUGUACAAACCGCCCGUCACACCAUGGGAGUUGGUUCUACCCGAAGCCGGUGCGCUAACGGCAAGGAGGCAGCCGACGCACGGUAGGGUCAGCGACUGGGGUGAAGUCGUAGACAAGGUAAGCCGGCGGCCGGCGUCGAGCCAAGGGC
rnacentral:rRNA from 1 species